CUCUCUUUCGUUCUCUUUCUCUUACACACACACACACACACACACAAAUUUCUCUCCCUCAAUCUCACACAAACAAAUUCUCUUUCAAUGAGCUAGCACUUGCAUUGUACCUGGUUCAUCUCUCCUCUCUCUCUCUCUCUCUCUCUCUCUCUCUGUCUGUCUCUGUCUCUGUGUGUGUGUGUGUGUGUGUGUGUGUUUGUACUAGCAAAGCCAGUUUCUUUUACUUGUUGCAAAAAAUUCUCUUCAAUUUUUGAGGUGGGUGUUGCUUCUGGUAAGUAAAUUGCUAAAGUGGGUCUAAUCUUCUUUGAUCUUUCUGGAGCUUCUUGUGUUUAAAAAUGUUAUCUUUGGUUUAUUUUUAUAGAUAUAAUUAUAAGCCUAACUUUUUAUCUUUGAUUUUUGACUCCAGAGCCAUUGAUAAGUGGAAAUGGGAGAAACUUGCAAAGAUUAAUGCUUAUAACUAUGUUCAAAUAUUGCAGUCCAGCGAACGAAGUGGCAGAUUUUUGUAGGAUCGGAUACAAAUCUGUCAUGUAGAGUGAUUGACAUGCCAGUAGCUAGCAGGAGCAGCCCAGCAGUGCCAACCAGCCCACUCGUAAACCAAAACAGCAGCUAACUUUUUCUCACACAAAUUCCCAAUACCCAUAUCAACCAUUAACUCAAAUUAAUAUUCAAAUCAACGGUUUUGAUGAGAGAAAAAACUUAGCACUCCACUCAGUGAUAUCAAUGGCAGUGUGGGCCGUGUCACGUGUGGCACAAAUACAAUAACCCAAAAUUGAAUCAAUGGUUAUAAACUUAUAAUCCAAAAAUAUCAAGACCCAAUCUAACGGUAUUAAUUACACUCUACAGAUCAGAAUCUCUCUCCAUAUCUCUAAUGUCUCUCUUCACUCUAUCCAGUUUUCACUUCGGACUCAGUCUCAGAGGCCAGAUUGAAUGAUUCGUGUCCGUGGUCAUGGCCCUCAUGGCUUCCUCCCUUUUACACACUUCCUCAACUCUUCACUUCUUCAGUCUUAGUUCUCUACUUGGUUCUCUCAAACUCUCUCAAAACACUUAACAUACCACAACUCUUAACCUUUCACAAGUGUCUUUGGCACAAGAGUCACCAAUCCCAGCCAACAUCUCUAAACAUUUCAAACCAUACUGUACAAACUCAUGUGGCUUCACAUCCUUCAAAUCAAAAACCUGCAUUUUUUUUUCCAACAAAUUUCCAAAUUCAAAAAGAAAAGUUCACAACUUGUUCGACAAAAUGCCUCAUAGAAACAAACAAACUCUAUUUUGCAUUUUUCCCAUACCUAUUCUUCGACAAUCAAUUGAUGCAGCCUCUCUUUACUUUUCUGUGUUAUUGGCCUAUUUGUUGUGUCUUCAAGAUAUUUUGGAUUGUUUCAAACAGUCAAGAAAACAAAACCCAUUACUUCAAAUAGGGCAUAAUGUGAAAAAGAUUUCUGCUUUUUUUUUUUUUCCCCAGGGGGGGUGGUUAAAUUUAUUUCCUUUUGUUAGGGUUGCUAAGAAAAUGUACACAAGUCCUGGAAAGAAAGUUUAGAUCUUUUCAUUUUUUACCUUGCUUCCUUUUUGAUUUUAUAGAAAAGAAUGUGAGCAAUGGUUGUAUUAGGUUCACUGCAAUAUAUCUUUUGCUAGAAUCAAACUUUCUGCACAAAUAUAAAAAAUAGAAUUUCUCCUAUUUUUGGUUUUGAGGUCUUCAGAUUGUUUAUUCCUUUUAUAUUUAAGAGUUGAAGUCUAGUAGUAGUGGAGAUGCUCUUUGUAUUUUUUUUUUCAAUAUCUAAUUUAUGGUAUAUAUUUUAUUUUUAAUGGGUUUUGUAUAUGGUUAUAGGAUCUUUGAAAAAUCUUUCAGAUAUUUCCUAAAAUAUUUCCUACAUUGAUUUUUAUUUAUUUUUUAUUUUUCUCUUUAUUGCUACUUCACAUAAUUUUUUCACUCUUUGCCGCUACUUUCUACUAAAAUUUCCCGCACAAAUCCUGCUAUAUAUUUCUUGUUUUUUGCUACACCUCCAGUUCAUCACAGAGAGGCUAGAGAAUGAAAUCAAAGACAAGGGUGCCAGCAGAUUUGCUCAAUCUUUUACAACUUUUGGUGAUCCAUCAGUCAAAGUUAUCCUAAUAGUAGGUAGGCAUGGCAAGGAAAGUUAAGAGGAAAGGUAAGGGCAUUAGUGAGUCUCAAGACUCUCAACUACAAGAAACUUAGUCAACUAGACCUUCCUUUGAUCAUAAUGAAGUUUGUGAGCAGGAGCUCUCAGAAAUUCUACCUCCAUCAUCUGAGCCUUGAACUGAUGAAGGAGCACCUCAGGCCUCUAAUUCCAUUAUAAUAGGUACUAAUGCUGGAAAAAAGAGGGGUCGAGGAAAGGCUAAAGGCAUCAAUGCUGGAGAUGGUGAAAUAGAGAUUGAGAUUUAUGAUGGCAAAAUUAUUACACCAAAAGCCACUCGAGAGAUUACCAUUCUUUUUCAACAAAAACUUAAUGGAGAUUGGACAACUUUUACAGAAUACCCAAAUUCUGAGCUAGAGACUUUAUAUGCUCGAUAUAGAGCUCAACGCUUUAAGCAUAAAUAGCCAAAUGAGGAAGUCAAGAAAGCGUUUGUAGAAUCAGUGAAGCACCGCUAUUCUGAUUGGAUGUUUCGCAUAAGAAAUCCAAUUUUUCAGAAGUAUGAAAAGAAAGAAGAUAGUUACAAGAAUGGUCCUUCCUUCAUUCCUACCCGUUUUUGGAAAGAGAUGGUGGAUGAAUGGAUGGGGGGAGAUUGGGGGGAGACAAGUUCGACAAAUAAGGACAACAAAAAUAAGUCUAAAAUUUUUUCCACUAUAGGUUCUGUACCAAUGGCCAAGUACAGAUAUGAAAUGUACCUAGAGACGGGUUCUGAGCCUAGCCCCAUUAAUUGCUAUAAGAAAUUUCACACAAAGAAGGAUGGCAAAGAAUGGGCAACUGGUCAUGCUAAGACAUUAUAUGGAUGCAACUUAUACCAAAAUUUAAUUUUGUUAACAACUUUAGUUUUUUUGUUGUUUUGAUUAUCCACGCGGUUUUUAUUUGUGUAGGAAAAAAUGGAUGCCAUAAAGGCCAAAGUUGUUUCUGAAGGUACUAAGACAAAUGAUUAUCAGAUCUUUCAUGAAGUGGUUGGUGAACCAAGUCAUGGUCGUAUUCUUGGCAUGGGAAUAGGUAUUAAGGCUAAGCAUGUGUACGGCUUAACUUUAUCUGGUAAAGGUUGUAGCAAACAUUGCAGAGAAGAUUUUAUAAAAGAAAAGAAGAUUUGGAGGCACAUCUUAGACAAGAAAUGGAUUCCAAACUUGCAAAAGUUAUGGAGAAGCUGAAGGAGAAGUUUGCACAAAAGUUGUAGUCGAUGGGCAGUCCCCAACAAUUUGACAUAAAUCCAGCUACCACGGAUGGUACUAGCAGAGAUGAAGAGGACAACUCAAACAAUAACAUAGAGGUUGAAAACAACUUGGAGAGUGACUCAGAGGAAGACUAAUAUAGAUCUUGUCAUAAAAUAGUUGUUUAAGUUUAAAACAAGGUUUAAUUUCAGGAUUUCUUUGUAUA